AACGCAUAUUGCACCUCUUGGCUAUUCCGGGAGGUAUACCUGUUCGAGCGCCGUUUAAAAUCUAAGGCAUUGCCUUGCGUUGAUGUAAUCCUAGUAAGGGUUUCAUUGAAACACAUUGGCCGUCUCUCUAUGCCCUGACCGCAGUAAAAUGCGAUAAAGGGAGGCCUAGGGAAAGCAGCCAAAGGCUCCGAAUACAUGGCCUCGGAUCAGGUAGGGUUACCCGCUGAACUUAA
rnacentral:misc_RNA from 1 species